CAGUACAGAAAAUCGCCGCGGCGUCGGUCCAUCUGCGGCGACCCUUGACCUCCUCCUCUCUCCACCCUCCACAGAACCCAACAAUCCGCUGAUCUCAACUGCCGGUUCCUGGGCGCCCCCGAUCCGGCGACGAUGGAUGGCGGCGGCGACGCCUUCGGGUCCUCGACGGCGCCGCUGGCCUGGCACGAUUUCCUCGAGCGCAUGCGCCAGCCCUCCGCCGCCGAGUUCGUCAGGUCCAUCAAGAGCUUUAUAUUGACUUUCUCGAGCAGAGCUCCUGAUCCAGAGCAAGAUAGUGCAUCUGUUCAAGAGUUCCAGGAAAACAUGGAAGGUGCUUUCAGAGCACACACUCCUUGGGCUGGCAGUUCAGAAGAAGAACUAGAGAGUGCUGGUGAGGGACUUGAGAAAUAUGUUAUGACAAAGCUGUUUAAUCGGGUAUUUGCUUCGGUCCCAGAAGAUGUGAAGAGUGAUGAAGAGCUUUUUGAGAAAAUGUCUUUGCUACAACAGUUUAUAAGGCCUGAAAACUUGGAUAUAAAACCAGAGUAUCAGAAUGAAACAUCUUGGCUGCUGGCGCAGAAGGAGCUGCAGAAGAUAAAUAUGUAUAAGGCUCCAAGGGAUAAGCUUUCUUGCAUCUUAAACUGCUGUAAAGUCAUCAAUAACUUACUGCUAAAUGCUUCUAUUGUAUCCAAUGAUAACCCCCCAGGAGCCGAUGAAUUCCUUCCAGUCCUCAUCUAUGUUACCAUAAAGGCUAAUCCUCCACAGCUGCACUCAAAUCUAUUAUACAUACAGAGAUAUAGACGGCAAACACGAUUGGUGUCAGAUGCUCAAUACUUUUUUACAAACAUACUGUCUGCUGAGUCUUUCAUAUGGAACAUUGAUGGGGAAUCACUGUCCAUGAAUGAGCUAGAUUUCCAAAGGAAGAUGGACUGGGCAAGAGAGCGCUUGUUGGGAUUAUCAGCUGACUCAGAAAAUCAGGAUAAUCAAGCCAAUCCUGAUGUCCAAGAGCGGAGAUCACAGAAUCUUAAAGCUAAUAGGAGUUCUGAUGUUAGCUUAUCCUUGAAAGACCCCAUCCAAGGCUCAGGACAGGACAUGAGAAGGGACAGUGAUGUGAGUGUGGGUGGUAAACCAGUUGAACGGGUGCAAUCUGUUUCUGAUUUAGAGAAUAAAGGAGCUACUGAGCUCCUCAAUCAUGAUGACUUGAACAAAAAGUUCCAGGAGUACCCGUACCUAUUUGCCCGGGCUGGUGACCUGACCAUUGCCGAUGUUGAAAGUCUCUUGAAUUCUUACAAGCAUCUAGUAGUUAGGUAUGUAGCACUUGCACAAGGUAUGGGUGUCAGCCCUGAAACCACUCUUGCUCAGAGUGGUCAAACAUCAUCUGAUCUGGUAGCAUCCGAAGAACCUGAGAAUGUGAGUAGUGUGGUAAAUAACAAUGAUAACAGUGAAGGAAUUAGCAAAACUUCUGAUGAUGUUCCAAGUGAAAACCAUCAUACGGAAGCAUCUGAACAAAUGACCCAGAAAACCGCUGUUGACCCCAGUGAUGAUCUGAAGGUAACGAAGGAUGAAGCAUUGCAUCAGGCUGAGAAUUCGUGAGCUGUUUGGUCAAAAGACCAGCUGAAUUGGGAAUACAAGGGGUCCCCAAGAUGACAAUGACCACGAAACAGAGUACAUGUUUCCCUGAGCGGUAUGCAGCAACUCUUCAAGCCACAAAUGUGCAUGCUGCAAGCUUGAAUGCAUUUAUUCUGCAUUGUGGGAGAUAAAUCCAUUCUGCUGAAGCUGUUCUUAGAUCCAAAUGCUUGUUCAUUGCAUUAUAGUUCUUGGCUCUGCUGUACACGACGUCUAUUUCAAUGGUUGGACUGAACCAAAUGCUACUUCAGCACGACAAUUCACGGACCACUAGACACGGCGUCUAUUGAAUGUAUCACAAUGCACGGAAUGAGAUUCCGAUGGUACAAUUUCGUCGGCUCAAUCAUAGGGGAUCUGGGAGAAGAAUCGAGAACUCGAGAUCUACUAAAGGUUAGUACCGCAUUAACAAUACUUUUCCUCCCCAGUUGAGCUGUGCAGAACAUGCGCACGUCUGCCUGUAGCCCCCCAAUUGCUGCGUAGUCAAUUCAAUCACCAUUCGAUUCAAGAGGCCCAGAACGGACGCGUGUAAACAAUCCGAUGUUUGUUUAUCCUAAACAAGGACUUGCUCAACAAUUUAUUGGUCACGGCAAAUACAUUGGAUUAUCUAAUCUAAUAGUAACAUGGAAUGUGCUAGCUAGGCUGCUAUAGUUAUGAAGCAGUACA